UCUUUGGACUGGAGAAAGAAUAAAAGACCUCAAAAAAUUUGGGCUGAGUGGUAUUUGGUUGAUACAGGGGCAUGUUUAAAUCGACGAUCUAAUCCAUGAAUUUUAUAGAAUUUUUAGGCCAGUCUCGUAAGAAUCCAAACAAACCCUAAAAUUUUAUAAAAAUUAAUGUUCCCUCCUCCGAAAAUAGAGUUGAUUUACUAGAGAUCAAGAGUUUCUUUUCAGUUGUGUGGUGUGAGGUCGUGGUUCCAACAGCUUUAUAAGAGG
rnacentral:lncRNA from 1 species